rnacentral:tRNA from 1 species
GGGGAUUUAGCUCAGUGGUAGAGCGCUUGCCUAACAAGCACAAGGCCCUGGGUUCCGGUCCCCAGCUCCG